GAACUCCUGCCACGGCAAACCCUAGCGAGGAGUCAUUAUCCAGCCUUGGGCGUGUUGUCGUGAGGCAACACGUUAAGCGUAGGCAGGAAAGACGUAGAGCUCUAAAGCGUAAGCCUGAAUCAAUUUAGCGUCGUUAAUACUGACAAGACGGUGGGUGAUACCCUCAUCGUGGUCGCAACCAGCACAAACUAUCUAGCAAAUUGGGUAUGGGGCAUUAAUUAUGAAACGCUUGCAGCGGAGCAUAGGAGAC
rnacentral:ncRNA from 1 species